rnacentral:rRNA from 1 species
UACGGGAGGCAGCAGUGGGGAAUAUUGCACAAUGGGCGCAAGCCUGAUGCAGCCAUGCCGCGUGUAUGAAGAAGGCCUUCGGGUUGUAAAGUACUUUCAGUCGUGAGGAAGGUGUUAAGGUUAAUAACCUUAGCAAUUGACGUUAGCGACAGAAGAAGCACCGGCUAACUCCGUGCCAGCAGCCGCGGUAAUACGGAGGGUGCGAGCGUUAAUCGGAAUUACUGGGCGUAAAGGGCACGCAGGCGGUUAAUUAAGUUGGAUGUGAAAUCCCCGGGCUUAACCUGGGAAUGGCAUUCAAGCUGGUUAGCUAGAGUCUUGUAGAGGGGGUUAGAAUUCCAUGUGUAGCGGUGAAAUGCGUAGAGAUGUGGAGGAAUACCGGUGGCGAAGGCGGCCCCUGGACAAAGACUGACGCUCAUGUGCGAAAGCGUGGGGAGCAAAC